AUGUUGGAUCCUCAACCCACUGCACCACAGAGGGAACUCCCAAUUCUUAAAUUUGAGAGCUUGGUCAAUUUGAAGUCUCUUUCACAGAGAUUCUCCCUGCAUAAUGGUGUCCACUCCAACCUGGCAGCUAUUCAGAGGUUUCUAGGAAGCAUCUCAUGUAAGUCCGUAUCUCAUUUAUUUUGCUUUGCUUCCCUGAACCUGUCGUGUGUACUUGUAAAUUCAUUCAGUAUACUGAAGGAUUUUAAUAGCAUCAUGGUUAUCCCUAAUUGAAAAACACAUGUUUUAUUUUCUUAUCAGCAUCAGUUGGGAGUUUGUUAGAAAUACAUAACCUCAGACAUUUGAAACGGUAUAUGCAUUUUAUAAUGAUACUCCCCCACACAGUGAUUUUUGAGUGUAUUUUAAAGCUUCACUGGUGUUACUUUAGUGAGGAAGACUUAGUCCUGAAAUUUUAUUUUCAAAUAUUUUAUCUACAUUUCUAAUUUGGGGCAUUAAGUUGUUUAUACUUUAUAUUACUCUUUUAAUAUAUGAAAGCUUUGUAAUGAUGUGUAAAUUUUUAAUUCUAGAUAUUGGCAAUUUGUGACCUAGUAUUUUGUCUAUCUUGGUAAAUGUUUAAUAUUCACUUGAAAAUAUGUAUAUUCUAUAAUUGUUAGAUGUAGUAGUCUAUCAAAAUCAAAUAAGCCAUUUUUUUCCUUUUUUUUGCCACUGCUUAGCAUAUGGAGAUCCAAGCUGCAGUUUUGACCUAUGCUGCAGCUGCAGCAAUACUGAAUCUUCUAACCCAUUGUGCUGGCUGGGGAUAGCACCUGUGUCCUGGUGCUGCAGAGAUGCUGCCAAUCUCAUCACCCCAUGGUGGAAUUCAAAUAGCCAAGUUUUUGGUUUUUUUGUGUUUGUUUGUUUUUUCUGUCUCUUUUAGGACCACACCUGCAGCAUAUGGAGGUUCCCAGGCUAGGGUUCCAAUUGGAGCUGUAGCCACCAGGCCUGUGCCACAACCACAGCAAUGCCAGAUCUGAGCCACGUCUGCAACCUACACCAUAGCUCAUGGCCACACCAGAUCCUUAACCCAUUG
rnacentral:lncRNA from 1 species